rnacentral:rRNA from 1 species
AUCCUACGGGAGGCAGCAGGCGCGCAAAUUACCCAAUCCUGACACAGGGAGGUAGUGACAGUAAAUAACAAUGCAGGGCUCUUCGAGUCUUGCAGUUGGAAUGAGUACAAUUUAAACCCCUUAACGAGUAACAAUUGGAGGGCAAGUCUGGUGCCAGCAGCCGCGGUAAUAAU